rnacentral:rRNA from 1 species
AGCGAACGCUGGCGGCAGGCCUAAUACAUGCAAGUCGGGCGCACCUUCGGGUGAGCGGCGGACGGGUGAGUAACGCGUGGGAAUGUGCCCUUUGGUACGGAACAACUGAGGGAAACUUCAGCUAAUACCGUAUGUGCCCUUCGGGGAAAGAUUUAUCGCCACAGGAGCAGCCCGCGUUGGAUUAGGUAGUUGGUGAGGUAAAGGCUCACCAAGCCUACGAUCCAUAGCUGGUCUGAGAGGAUGAUCAGCCACACUGGGACUGAGACACGGCCCAGACUCCUACGGGAGGCAGCAGUAGGGAAUCUUGCGCAAUGGGCGAAAGCCUGACGCAGCCAUGCCGCGUGAAUGAUGAA